AUGAUACUACUCUAUACAAAUAUUAUUUUUUUGCCAUGCUUAAAUAUUGCUAUGAAAACUAUGCUUCUAAUGCUUAUAUAUAUUAAAGAAUAUAUUGAGGACGCCUCUGCUGUUGAAGAAGAGACUAAUAUUUUGCAGGAGUCUAUGGAAGAAGAAAUAGAUGAAACUGUGAGCUCAUUACAUGAAAAAGAUGAGGAGGAAAGUGAAGAACAAUUGGAGCAAGAGCGGAUUAGCUACAUGUACCCACCUUCUAAUGAGUGUAACUCUGCAAAUCAUACAUUGUUUAAUUUUCCUUUGUCCUUACCAAAGGAUGAGUGUUGUGAUGAUUGCUAUGAUCCCUUGGAUUCGUUUGAAAUAUAUGUUUUUGAUGAAAUUGAUGCUUGCUAUGCUUGUGGCCAUGAAGCCAAUACAAAUGAUGUUUAUGGUGAUGAACUUACUAUAGUUCCUUAUGUUAAGAAUGAAAUUGUUAUUAUUGCACCCACACAUGAUAGUCCUAUUAUCUUUUUGAAUUCUCCCAACUACACUAUAUCAGAGAAGUUUGCGCUUAUUAAGGAUUAUAUUGAUGGGUUGCGUUUUACUACUACACAUGAUGAUUUGGAUGAAUAUAAUAUGCAUGUGCUUGCUGCUCCUACUUGCAAUUAUUAUGAGAGAGGAACUACAUCUCCACCUCUCUAUGUUUCCAAUACGAUAAAAUUGCAACAGUUUGUUUAUACUAUGUAUCGACCUUUAUUAUGUGUGCAUGAAUUGUUCUUUUAUGACAUGCCGAUGCAUAGGAAGAGAGUUAACUUCAUCGUUGCAUGA
rnacentral:rRNA from 1 species